UUUUAAAUCCCGGCUGAAGACUCACUACUUCAGUUUAGCACACCCUGACUAGAGCUGCUGAUUAACUGUACAGACUGCAUCUCUGUUGUUAGUCAUUAGCACUAAAACAUAAGUAACAUGAUAGUUAGGAUUGGAUACUAACCCUCACCUAUUCUGUUUCUCUUCUCGGUACUCAAAUGUGACACUUGGUGCCACGGCCCACCUGCCAAUUGUUUUGCCUGCCUAUGGUAAAGUCAUCCCUGAUGGAGGAUCACAGGAAUCGUGGGGUAGAGGGGUCCUUUCAUCGGAUUGGCUGGCCCAGCGCUGUUUCAGCUAUGGAAUGGCCAAAUGGGGGAGGCAGCUUGAGAGCUGAGGUCUCCAGGACUCUAAACAAAUCCAAAUCAUAUUAUGUGAUAUCAUCUACUGUUAAAUUCUGCUCCAUACUUCUAAAAUUUUUAUUUUUAUACUGUAUUGAGGAUUUGUUCUGUUCUG